rnacentral:rRNA from 1 species
UAGGGAAUCUUCGGCAGUGGGGGGAACCCUGACCGAGCAACGCCGCGUGAGUGAAGAAGGUUUUCGGAUCGUAAAGCUCUGUUGUUAAGGAAGAACGAGUGUGAGAAUGGAAAGUUCAUACUGUGACGGUACUUAACCAGAAAGGGACGGCUAACUACGUGCCAGCAGCCGCGGUAAUACGUAGGUCCCGAGCGUUGUCCGGAUUUAUUGGGCGUAAAGCGAGCGCAGGCGGUCAAUUAAGUCUGAUGUGAAAGCCCCCGGCUCAACCGGGGAGGGUCAUUGGAAACUGGUUGACUUGAGUGCAGAAGAGGAGAGUGGAAUUCCAUGUGUAGCGGUGAAAUGCGUAGAUAUAUGGAGGAACACCAGUGGCGAAGGCGACUCUCUGGUCUGUAACUGACGCUGAGGUUCGAAAGCGUGGGUAGCAAACAGG